AUGAACGCUGGCGGCGUGCCUAAUACAUGCAAGUCGAACGCUUUGUGGUUCAACUGAUUUGAAGAGCUUGCUCAGAUAUGACGAUGGACAUUGCAAAGAGUGGCGAACGGGUGAGUAACACGUGGGAAACCUACCUCUUAGCAGGGGAUAACAUUUGGAAACAGAUGCUAAUACCGUAUAACAAUGACAACCGCAUGGUUGUUAUUUAAAAGAUGGUUCUGCUAUCACUAAGAGAUGGUCCCGCGGUGCAUUAGCUAGUUGGUAAGGUAAUGGCUUACCAAGGCGAUGAUGCAUAGCCGAGUUGAGAGACUGAUCGGCCACAAUGGGACUGAGAUACGGCCCAUACUCCUACGGGAGGCAGCAGUAGGGAAUCUUCCACAAUGGGCGAAAGCCUGAUGGAGCAACGCCGCGUGUGUGAUGAAGGGUUUCGGCUCGUAAAACACUGUUGUAAGAGAAGAAUGACAUUGAGAGUAACUGUUCAAUGUGUGACGGUAUCUUACCAGAAAGGAACGGCUAAAUACGUGCCAGCAGCCGCGGUAAUACGUAUGUUCCAAGCGUUAUCCGGAUUUAUUGGGCGUAAAGCGAGCGCAGACGGUUAUUUAAGUCUGAAGUGAAAGCCCUCAGCUCAACUGAGGAAUUGCUUUGGAAACUGGAUGACUUGAGUGCAGUAGAGGAAAGUGGAACUCCAUGUGUAGCGGUGAAAUGCGUAGAUAUAUGGAAGAACACCAGUGGCGAAGGCGGCUUUCUGGACUGUAACUGACGUUGAGGCUCGAAAGUGUGGGUAGCAAACAGGAUUAGAUACCCUGGUAGUCCACACCGUAAACGAUGAGUGCUAGGUGUUUGAGGGUUUCCGCCCUUAAGUACCGCAGCUAACGCAUUAAGCACUCCGCCUGGGGAAUACGACCGCAAGGUUGAAACUCAAAGGAAUUGACGGGGACCCGCACAAGCGGUGGAGCAUGUGGUUUAAUUCGAAGCAACGCGAAGAACCUUACCAGGUCUUGACAUCCCUUGACAACUCCAGAGAUGGAGCGUUCCCUUCGGGGACAAGGUGACAGGUGGUGCAUGGUUGUCGUCAGCUCGUGUCGUGAGAUGUUGGGUUAAGUCCCGCAACGAGCGCAACCCUUAUUACUAGUUGCCAGCAUUCAGUUGGGCACUCUAGUGAGACUGCCGGUGACAAACCGGAGGAAGGUGGGGAUGACGUCAAAUCAUCAUGCCCCUUAUGACCUGGGCUACACACGUGCUACAAUGGCGUAUACAACGAGUUGCCAACCCGCGAGGGUGAGCUAAUCUCUUAAAGUACGUCUCAGUUCGGAUUGUAGGCUGCAACUCGCCUACAUGAAGUCGGAAUCGCUAGUAAUCGCGGAUCAGCACGCCGCGGUGAAUACGUUCCCGGGUCUUGUACACACCGC
rnacentral:rRNA from 1 species